CCAGUGAUGCUUACUCUUUGGC
rnacentral:siRNA from 1 species